rnacentral:rRNA from 1 species
GGCGCAGGCGGGGACGCAGGUCCUUCCUGAAAGUUCGGGGCUCAGCCCCGUGAUGGGAAGGAAACCGUGUCUCUUGAGCGCGGGAGAGGGAAGCGGAAUUCCUGGUGUAGCGGUGAAAUGCGUAGAUAUCAGGAAGAACACCAGUGGCGAAGGCGGCUUCCUGGACCGCGGCUGACGCUGAGGCCCGAAAGCCAGGGGAGCGAACG